CUGCUAUCGGAUUGAUACUAAGCCAUGCGAGUCAUUGUAGCAAUACAAGGCAUACGGCUCAGUAACGCGUAGUCAACCUAACCUAUGGACGGGAAUAACCUCGGGAAACUGAGAAUAAUGCCCGAUAGAACAUUAUGCCUGGAAUGGUUUAUGUUCCAAAUGAUUUAUCGCCGUAGGAUGGGACUGCGGCCUAUCAGUCUGUUGGUGAGGUAAUGGCCCACCAAGACUAUUACAGGUACGGGCUCUGAGAGGAGUAGCCCGGAGAUGGGUACUGAGACACGGACCCAGGCCCUAUGGGGCGCAGCAGGCGAGAAAACUUUGCAAUGUGCGAAAGCACGACAAGGUUAAAUCCGAGUGGUUUCUGCUAAAGGAACCUUUUGUCAGUCCUAGAAACACUGAUGAAUAAGGGUGGGCAAGUUCUGGUGUCAGCCGCCGCGGUAAAACCAGCACCUCAAGUGGUCAGGAUGAUUAUUGGGCCUAAAGCAUCCGUAGCCGGCUCUGUAAGUUUUCGGUUAAAUCUGUACGCUCAACGUACAGGCUGCCGGGAAUACUGCAAAGCUAGGGAGUGGGAGAGGUAGACGGUACUCGGUAGGAAGGGGUAAAAUCCUUUGAUCUAUUGAUGACCACCUGUGGCGAAGGCGGUCUACCAGAACACGUCCGACGGUGAGGGAUGAAAGCUGGGGGAGCAAACCGGAUUAGAUACCCGGGUAGUCCCAGCUGUAAACCAUGCAAACUCAGUGAUGCAUUGGCUUGUGGCCAAUGCAGUGCUGCAGGGAAGCCGUUAAGUUUGCCGCCUGGGAAGUACGUACGCAAGUAUGAAACUUAAAGGAAUUGGCGGGGGAGCACCACAAGGGGUGAAGCCUGCGG
rnacentral:rRNA from 1 species